rnacentral:rRNA from 1 species
AACGCGAAGAACCUUACCAACCUUUGACAUGUCCAGUAUGGGUCCGGGAGACCAGAUCCUUCAGUUCGGCUGGCUGGAACACAGGUGCUGCAUGGCUGUCGUCAGCUCGUGUCGUGAGAUGUUGGGUUAAGUCCCGCAACGAGCGCAACCCUCAUCUUUAGUUGCCCACGGGUCAGGCCGGGCACUCUAAAGAAACCGCCGGUGACAAGCCGGAGGAAGGCGGGGAUGACGUCAAGUCCUCAUGGCCCUUACAGGUUGGGCUACACACGUACUACAAUGGUGGUGACAGAGGGCUGCGAACCCGCGAGGGGGAGCCAAUCCUCAAAAGCCAUCUCAGUUCGGAUUGCACUCUGCAACUCGGGUGCAUGAAGUUGGAAUCGCUAGUAAUCGCAGAUCAGCACGCUGCGGUGAAUACGUUCCCGGGCCUUGUACACACCGUAGUAC